GGGGCUGUAGCUCAGUGGUAGAGCACUUGUCUACCCAGAGCACUUAAGGCUGUAGGUUCAAACCCCAGCACCA
rnacentral:tRNA from 1 species